GACGAACGCUGGCGGCGUGCUUAACACAUGCAAGUCGAACGAAGUGGCGAACGGGUGAGUAACGCGUAAUCAACCUGCACUUCAGAGGGGGACAACAGUUGGAAACGACUGCUAAUACCGCAUACUGAAGGAGGGGAUUGCGUCUGAUUAGCGAGUUGGAGGGGUAACGGCCCACCAAGGCGAGGAUCAGUAGCCGGUCUGAGAGGAUGAACGGCCACAUUGGGACGGAGACACGGCCCAGACGCCUACGGGAGGCAUCAGGGGGGAAGCUUACGCAAUGGACGAAAGUCUGACGGAGCAACGCCGCGUGAGUGAUGACGGCCUUCGGGUUGUAAAGCUCUGUUAAUCGGGACGCGGUACCGGAAUAGAAAGCCACGGCUAACUACGUGCCAGCAGCCGCGGUAAUAC
rnacentral:rRNA from 1 species